UAUUAAUAACAUGAUUUAACUGAUACAAUUUGAUCAUAAAUUUUUAGUUACAGUAAUAAAUUACUGAACUGAAAAUGACAAAAACAAAAAGGACUGCAAUUUGCCUUUAAGAUUUGUAUGCGUUGAUACAUUUUGAAUAUUUUGAUAUAAAUAUUUUGUUCUCUAGUGAGCAUGAUUAUGGUAAUAUUCCAAAAACAUUAGUCUUUGCACUGACAUUGGUGUCAAAACUUCCAAAAUGCCAGAAAUUUUUUAAUUUUUAGAAGAAAUGAAAUGGUCAGUGUGGUUAAAGAACAUUAUAGACUUUAAUCAUCCUGCAUAUUAAAAUAAUGCUUUUGGGUAAGGUGGAGCCAUAGUUGAAGCUGUUAGACUAUCUCUGCCCUGUAUAAAAAAAAAAUCACAUUUUGUACAAAUAUGUAAGCUGAAUCGCUGUAAAGCCUGUAAAUUGACUAAAAGUUAUAUUCAAGCAUUAUUUAAAGAGGAAAUAAUACUACCGGUAAUAUGACUUUUAAAUUCAUGUACACCAUGCUUCAAUGAAAAUUAAAACAAAUGAAAUCACAAAGCUAAUUUGAUUGCAGAAGAGCAGUACUAUUACAUUGUAUGCUUAAAACAUGGAACAAAUGCAAC
rnacentral:lncRNA from 1 species